rnacentral:rRNA from 1 species
GACUACCGGGGUAUCUAAUCCUGUUUGCUCCCCACGCUUUCGAGUCUCAGCGUCAGUAUCUGUCCAGUUGGCCGCCUUCGCCACCGGUGUUCCUCUCGAUAUCUACGAAUUUCACCUCUACACCGAGAAUUCCACCAACCUCUCCAGUACUCUAGCCUCGCAGUAUCGAGUGCACUUCCCGGGUUGAGCCCGGGGCUUUCACAUCCGACUUACGAAACCGCCUACACUCGCUUUACGCCCAGUAAUUCCGAACAACGUUUGCACCCUCUGUCUUACCGCGGCUGCUGGCACAGAGUUAGCCGGUGCUUGCUAAGGAGAUACCGUCAUCAUGCGGAGUAUUAGCCCGCACUUAUUCGUCUCUCCCCACAGAGCUUUACAACCCGAAGGCCUUCAUCACUCACGCGGCGUCGCUGCGUCAGGCUUUCGCCCAUUGCGCAAGAUUCCCCACUGCAGCCGCCCGUAGG